GCACUGUAGUCUGUCACCACUGCCAGCAUAUGAGCCUGCAUUUGAUUGGGAGAAUGAGAGGUCUUUGAUAUUUGGCCAAAGGGUGCCAGAAAGUAUACCAGCAAUAAGCAACAGUGGCUUGAAGAUAACUGUCAAGGUACUAUCUUUGUCAUUCCAAGCUGGAUUAGUUGAACCUUUCUGAU